AGGUGCUGUUCUCCUGGGGCUGUAUCCACAAAGUAACUCAAAGCCCUCUCAAAAAGCUCCUAACUUGGCCAAAAAGUUCCUGGCAAGGAAUGCUAGCCUAACAGUGAGCCAGGAGUUGUCUGAGAGCAAGUCU